rnacentral:rRNA from 1 species
UACGAAGGGUGCAAGCGUUAAUCGGAAUUACUGGGCGUAAAGCGUGCGUAGGUGGUUCGUUACGUCUGUCGUGAAAGCCCCGGGCUCAACCUGGGAAUGGCGAUGGAUACUGGCGGGCUAGAGUGCGGUAGAGGAGAGUGGAAUUCCCGGUGUAGCAGUGAAAUGCGUAGAGAUCGGGAGGAACAUCAGUUGCGAAGGCGGCUCUCUGGACCAGCACUGACACUGAGGCACGAAAGCGUGGGGAGCAAGCAGG